rnacentral:rRNA from 1 species
GUCCACGCCGUAAACGAUGUCUGCUAGCCGUUGGGGUCCUUGAGGCCUCGGUGGCGCAGCUAACGCGAUAAGCAGACCGCCUGGGGAGUACGGCCGCAAGGUUAAAACUCAAAUGAAUUGACGGGGGGCCCGCACAAGCGGUGGAGCAUGUGGUUUAAUUCGAUGCAACGCGAAGAACCUUACCAGGUCUUGACAUCCAGAGAACUGCCGAGAGAUUGGCGGGUGCCUUUCGGGGAACUCUGAGACAGGUGCUGCAUGGCUGUCGU